GAUGAACGCUGGCGGCGUGCCUAAUACAUGCAAGUCGAGCGAACAGACGAGGAGCUUGCUCCUCUGACGUUAGCGGCGGACGGGUGAGUAACACGUGGAUAACCUACCUAUAAGACUGGGAUAACUUCGGGAAACCGGAGCUAAUACCGGAUAAUAUAUUGAACCGCAUGGUUCAAUAGUGAAAGACGGUUUUGCUGUCACUUAUAGAUGGAUCCGCGCCGCAUUAGCUAGUUGGUAAGGUAACGGCUUACCAAGGCAACGAUGCGUAGCCGACCUGAGAGGGUGAUCGGCCACACUGGAACUGAGACACGGUCCAGACUCCUACGGGAGGCAGCAGUAGGGAAUCUUCCGCAAUGGGCGAAAGCCUGACGGAGCAACGCCGCGUGAGUGAUGAAGGUCUUCGGAUCGUAAAACUCUGUUAUUAGGGAAGAACAAAUGUGUAAGUAACUAUGCACGUCUUGACGGUACAUAAUCAGAAAGCCACGGCUAACUACGU
rnacentral:rRNA from 1 species